rnacentral:misc_RNA from 1 species
UACGGAGGAUCCGAGCGUUAUCCGGAUUUAUUGGGUUUAAAGGGUGCGUAGGCGGUUUGAUAAGUUAGAGGUGAAAUGUCGGGGCUCAACCCCGAAACUGCCUCUAAUACUGUUGGACUAGAGAAUAGUUGCGGUAGGCGGAAUGUAUAGUGUAGCGGUGAAAUGCUUAGAGAUCAUACAGAACACCGAUUGCGAAGGCAGCUUACCAAACUAUAUCUGACGUUGAGGCACGAAAGCGUGGGUAGCAAACAGG